ACACACACACAUACACACACACACACACACACACACACACACACACUAACACUCCCAUGUUAGUUCUUUCCCUCUCUGCAACCUCUAGACUCUCAGGCCUAGAGGAAGGAGGAGGGUUCAUGAGCUUGGUCAGGAACAAUGACAUCACAGGCAGUCAACCUAGAGCAGGCAGAAGCCCUGCUUUUUCCUCAAAACUACCAUGAGAAUCAGGCUUGUCUGUGCUGUGGUCCUUUGUUUCCUGGAAAUAGGGCUUGUGGACACAAAAGUAACCCAGACACCAAGAAACCUGGUCAAAAGAAAGGGAGAGAAAGUGUUGCUGGAAUGCGUACAGGAUAUGGACCAUGAAAGAAUGUACUGGUAUCGACAAGACCCGGGGUUAGGGCUGCGGUUGAUCUAUAUUUCAUACGAUGCUAAUGAUAACAGCGAAGGCGAUAUCCCUGACGGAUACAAUGUCUUGCGGAAGCAGCGGGAGAGUUUCUCCCUGAUUCUGGAGUCUGCCAGCACCAACCAGACAGCUGUGUAUCUCUGUGCCAGUGCUUUGGGACAGGGCACAGAAGUUUUCUUUGGAAAAGGAACAAGACUCACGGUUGUAGAGGACCUGAGCAAGGUGAGCCCACCUGAGGUCACUGUGUUUGAGCCCUCAGAAGCAGAAAUUGCAGAGAAAGUAAAGGCCACGCUUGUGUGCCUGGCCAGAGGCUUCUACCCCGACCACGUGGAGCUGAGCUGGUGGGUGAAUGGAAAGGAGGUCCACAGUGGGGUCAGCACAGACACUCAGCCCUACAAGGAGAGCAAUAACAUCACCUACUGCCUGAGCAGCCGCCUGCGGGUCUCUGCAAGCUUCUGGCACAACCCUCGCAACCACUUCCGCUGCCAAGUCCAGUUCUAUGGGCUUUCAGAGGACGAAGUGUGGACCCAGAGCUCACCCAAACCUGUCAGCCAGAACGUCAGUGCAGAGGCCUGGGGCCGAGCAGACUGUGGCAUCACCUCUGAGGACCUGAGCAAGGUGAGCCCACCUGAGGUCACUGUGUUUGAGCCCUCAGAAGCAGAGAUUGCAGAGAAAGAAAAGGCCACGCUUGUGUGCCUGGCCAGAGGCUUCUACCCCGACCACGUGGAGCUGAGCUGGUGGGUGAAUGGAAAGGAGGUCCACAGUGGGGUCAGCACAGACACUCAGCCCUACAAGGAGAGCAAUAACAUCACCUACUGCCUGAGCAGCCGCUUGCGGGUCUCUGCAAGCUUCUGGCACAACCCUCGCAACCACUUCCGCUGCCAAGUCCAGUUCUAUGGGCUUUCAGAGGACGAAGUGUGGACCCAGAGCUCACCCAAACCUGUCAGCCAGAACGUCAGUGCAGAGGCCUGGGGCCGAGCAGAUUGUGGCAUCACCUCAGCAUCCUAUCAGCAAGGAAUUCUGUCUGCCACCAUCCUCUAUGGGGUCCUGCUGGGGAAGGCCAUCCUGUAUGCUUUGCUGGUCAGUGCCCUGGUGCUGAUGGCCAUGGCCAAGAAAAAGAAUUCCUGAGACCAGCUCCUGUGCAUCCUGGGUAGUUCUUCCUCUCCAACCUGGAUUCUUCUAUGCCUGCUCCAAUUAGUGUUUUGAAGGAAUUAUUAUUCCACAAGUCUCCUCUACUACAUGGCUGUUGAUCUUCCCUCACUGCUUCCCAUAGACUGAGCUCCCGACCCUGAUACAGACUAAACUAAAUCAAUAAAAAUGUUGAACAGGG